rnacentral:rRNA from 1 species
CCUACGGGAGGCAGCAGUGGGGAAUCUUGCGCAAUGGGCGAAAGCCUGACGCAGCAACGCCGCGUGCGGGAAGAAGGCUUUCGGGCUGUAAACCGCUUUCAGCAGGAACGAAAAUGACGGUACCUGCAGAAGAAGGAGCGGCCAACUAUGUGCCAGCAGCCGCGGUGAUACAUAGGCUUCAAGCGUUGUCCGGAUUUAUUGGGCGUAAAGAGUUCGUAGGCGGUCAAGUAAGUCGGGUGUGAAAAUUCUGGGCUCAACCCAGAGACGCCACCCGAUACUGCUUAACUUGAGUUCGAUAGGGGAGUGGGGAAUUCCUAGUGUAGCGGUGAAAUGCGCAGAUAUUAGGAGGAACACCGGUGGCGAAGGCGCCACUCUGGAUCGAUACUGACGCUGAGGAGCGAAAGCAUGGGUAGCAAACAGGAUUAGAUACCCUGGUAGUCCAUGCCGUAAACGGUGGGCACUAGGUGUGGGUUUCUAUUAACGAAAUCCGCGCCGUCGCUAACGCAUUAAGUGCCCCGCCUGGGGAGUACGGUCGCAAGACUAAAACUCAAAGUGAAUGACGCGNGAGCGNGACCGAGCACACGAGGUAG